AUGGGAGGAAGCUCAUUGUAGAGGUCACGUGCCGAGUGCUCGUCACUCAACCAAUCACCUCGGGGAAGGUCUGAGACAAGAGCCAAUUGCUGCCCUAGCAGGGCAUCACUUGAUCCGGGUGAGUGAGUGCACAGAAAAUGUGGGCCGUCGUGAGUGUUCUUAACAGGAGAAACCAGGUGGCGCGCCGCUGGUGGAUGUGACCUCACUGGCUUGGAAUCACUCAUGGCUGGCGUAUGAGUGCGAUGUAUGAGUUGGAGUACACCUCCAGAACCCAAUUCAGACUACUCUCCCCCCAC
ensembl:ribozyme RNaseP_nuc Nuclear RNase P